rnacentral:sRNA from 1 species
GCCAGACACAGUGGUGCAUACCUGUAAUCCCAGCAACUUGGGAGGCUGAGGCAGGAGGAUUACAAGUUCAAGGCUAGCCUCAGCAAUUUAGUGAGACCCUAAGCAACUUAGUGAGACCCUGUCUCAA